rnacentral:rRNA from 1 species
AGCCACACUGGAACUGAGACACAGCCCAGACUCCUACGGGAGGCAGCAGUGGGGAAUUUUGGACAAUGGGGGCAACCCUGAUCCAGCCAUUCCGCGUGUCUGAAGAAGGCCUUCGGGUUGUAAAGGACUUUUGUCCGGGAGCAAAGCCUGUUGUCGAAUAAACGACGGGGAUGAGAGUACCGGAAGAAUAAGCACCGGCUAACUACGUGCCAGCAGCCGCGGUAAUACGUAGGGUGCGAGCGUUAAUCGGAAUUACUGGGCGUAAAGCGUGCGCAGGCGGUAUUGCAAGUCUGAUGUGAAAGCCCCGGGCUUAACCUGGGAACGGCAUUGGAAACUGCAAAACUAGAGUACGUCAGAGGGGGGUAGAAUUCCACGUGUAGCAGUGAAAUGCGUAGAGAUGUGGAGGAAUACCGAUGGCGAAGGCAGCCCCCUGGGAUGAUACUGACGCUCAUGCACGAAAGCGUGGGGAGCAAACAGGAUUAGAUACCCUGGUAGUCCACGCCCUAAACGAUGUCAAUUAGCUGUUGGGGGUUUGAAUCCUUGGUAGCGAAGCUAACGCGUGAAAUUGACCGCCUGGGGAGUACGGCCGCAAGGUUAAA